UACGAAGGGUGCAAGCGUUACUCGGAAUUACUGGGCGUAAAGCGUGCGUAGGUGGUUCGUUAAGUCUGAUGUGAAAGCCCUGGGCUCAACCUGGGAAUGGCAUUGGAAACUGGCGACCUAGAGUGCGGUAGAGGGUAGUGGAAUUCCCGGUGUAGCAGUGAGAUGCGUAGAGAUCGGGAGGAACAUCUGUGGCGAAGGCGACUGCCUGGACCAGCACUGACACUGAGGCACGAAAGCGUGGGGAGCAAACAGG
rnacentral:rRNA from 1 species